rnacentral:rRNA from 1 species
GACGAACGCUGGCGGCGUGGAUUAGGCAUGCAAGUCGAACGGUAGGAUACCUUCGGGUAUCUGAGAGUGGCGAACGGGUGAGUAACACGUAGGUGAUCUACCCUCAAGAUUGGGACAACCCAGGGAAACUUGGGCUAAUACCGGAUGAAAGCAGCAGUGAUGUUGUUUGAAAGGUGGCGUAAGCUGCCGUUUGGGGAUGAGCCUGCGCUCUAUUAGUUAGUUGGCGGGGUAAAGGCCCACCAAGGCGAUGAUAGAUAGGCGGCCUUAACGGGUGGUCGCCCACACUGGGAUUGAGAUACGGCCCAGACUCCUACGGGAGGCAGCAGUCGAGAAUAGUCUACAAUGGCCGAAAGGCUGAUAGUGCGACGCCGCGUGAACGAAGAAGCCCUUCGGGGUGUAAAGUUCUUUUAUAUGUGAGCAGUGCUUUCUAUGUGAACAGCAUGGGGAGAGAGAUAUUAGCAUAUGAAUAAAGCAACGGCUAAACUCCGUGCCAGCAC